GAUGAAGAACGUAGCAAAAUGCGAUACUUGGUGUGAAUUGCAGAAUCCCGUGAACCAUCGAGUUUUUGAACGCAAGUUGCGCCCGAAGCCUUUUGGCCGAGGGCACGUCUGCCUGGGCGUCACGCAUCGCGUCGCCCCCCACAAUUCUCUGUAAAGGGAACUCGCGUUUUGGGGGCGGAUAAUGGUCUCCCGUGCUCAUGGCGUGGUUGGCCGAAAUAGGAGUCCCUUCGAUGGACGCACGAACUAGUGGUGGUCGUAAAAACCCUCGUCUUUUGUUUCGUGCCGUUAGUCGCAAGGGAAACUCUAAGAAAACCCCAACGUGUCGUCUCUUGACGACGCUUCGACCGCGACCCCAGGUCAGGCGGGACUACCCGCUGAGUUUAAGCAUAUCAAUAAGCGGAGGA
rnacentral:misc_RNA from 1 species